GUGCUCGCUUUGGCAGCACAUAUACUAAAAUUGGAACGAUACAGAGAAGAUUAGCAUGGCCCCUGCACAAGGAUGACACACAAAUUCAUGAAGCUUUCCAUAUUUUU
ensembl:snRNA U6 U6 spliceosomal RNA